rnacentral:rRNA from 1 species
AUGAACGCUGGCGGCGUGCCUAAUACCUGCAAGUCCAGCGAACGGACGAGAAGCUUGCUUCUCUGAUGUUAGCGGCGGACGGGUGAGUAACACGUGGAUAACCUACCUAUAAGACUGGGAUAACUUCGGGAAACCGGAGCUAAUACCGGAUGAUAUUUUGAACCGCAUGGUUCAAAAGUGAAAGACGGUCUUGCUGUCACUUAUAGAUGGAUCCGCGCUGCAUUAGCUAGUUGGUAAGGUAACGGCUUACCAAGGAAACGAUGCAUAGCCGACCUGAGAGGGUGAUCGGCCACACUGGAACUGAGACACGGUCCAGACUCCUACGGGAGGCAGCAGUAGGGAAUCUUCCGCAAUGGGCGAAAGCCUGACGGAGCAACGCCGCGUGAGUGAUGAAGGUCUUCGGAUCGUAAAACUCUGUUAUUAGGGAAGAACAUAUGUGUAAGUAACUGUGCACAUCUUGACGGUACCUAAUCAGAAAGCCACGGCUAACUACGUG